rnacentral:rRNA from 1 species
GACGAACGCUGGCGGCGUGCUUAACACAUGCAAGUCGAACGGAAAGGCCCUGCUUUUGUGGGGUGCUCGAGUGGCGAACGGGUGAGUAACACGUGAGUAACCUGCUCUUGACUUUGGGAUAACUUCAGGAAACUGGGGCUACUACCGGAUAGGAGCUCCUGCUGCAUGGUGGGGGUUGGAAAGUUUCGGCGGUUGGGGAUGGACUCGCGGCUUAUCAGCUUGUUGGUGGGGUAGUGGCAUACCAAGGCUGUGACGGGUAGCCGGCCUGAGAGGGUGACCGGCCACAAUGCGACUACGAGACGGCCCAGUCUCCUACAGUAGGCAGAAGUGGGGAAUAUUGCACAGUGGGCGGGAGCCUGAUGAAGCGACGCCGCGUGCGUGAUGACGGCCUUCGGGGUGAGAACCGCUUUCGCCUGAUACGAAGCGGGAGUGACGGUAAUGGGUAAAGAAGCACCGGCUAACUACGUG